GGUGGUAUAGCCAAGCGGUAAGGCAUGGGUCUGCAACACCCUGAUCACCGGUUCGAUUCCGGUUACCACCU
rnacentral:tRNA from 5 species